GGGGGCAUGCACUCAUUUGAAAUCCACCACCACCACCACCACCUCCGGCCAGCCAUUUCUAGUGGCAGUCCGGCCACUUUUCCGGCCAGUAAGGGGACCCAAGCUUGAGACCUACAACCACACUUCAUUAGAGAAGGAUUUAGGUACAAGUGUGAUUCUUGAAUCAAUUCAAGAGAAAGCUUGAAAUUCUUGAGUUAGUGGAACCAACAAAGUUUAAGGUUAGGGAAUUGGCGUGACGUGUACUUUGCUUUCUUGGUGAGGAUUGCGUGUUUACUUCGAGGUGAGACAGGAUCUAGUGCACAGGCUGCGAAUCAGCAGGAGGACGCGUGACGGAGGUGGCCUGGACUUUUGUGGUUAUGUGACACUUGCGUGUGAACUUAUAUAUAUGAAGAUAUGCGUAAUCUGAUCUCGAGCGAGAGGAGGGAUUGAACUCCUUAGACGACGAGCACAUCUUCACCCAAGUUCUUGGGCCGGAUAAACCUGAGUGUGUGCGCUGUCGAGGACAUGUAGUGACACCAUCUUCUAAAGGUUUUACCAGUAUGUCUGGAUCCUCUCAAGCUAUCCAAGAAGCAAAAGGAGCUGUUGAGAUUGCACAAAGUGAAGCUGAAACGACAAGAAAAGAACUAGAAGAUUAUAAGAGGAUGUCGGAUGAGAGAACGAGAAAACGGAGGAAAAUGUGGCUAGGCUUACGCAGGCUUUGCUGAGAUUUACAGAAAGGGACAAUGGUGAUAACCUUUAGCAUGGUAAUGGUUAAAGUAGAUGACUGUUUGGUGAUGAAAGAUGGGGAAGGGUGUUGCUGUGCUCAAUUCUCUACUUAACAUUGUUGCACUAAGUUUGGCAAUACAAUGAAGGUUUUGAUUGCUCCUGAGCUAAAUUUGUUAUUAAUGGAACCUUUUUAUUUUGUCUUUAGAUUAGUUGGAUUGAGUACAAGCCAAGCUUCUAUGUAUAUUUUGGUGUGGAUAGUGGAAGUGUUUGAUUAUGUAAAACUAUGAUAAUUGUUUUCAUGUCAUGAAUGGAAA